rnacentral:rRNA from 1 species
GGGGAAUCUUGCGCAAUGGGCGAAAGCCUGACGCAGCAACGCCGCGUGCGGGAAGAAGGCCUUCGGGUUGUAAACCGCUUUCAGAAGGAACGAAACUGACGGUACUUUCAGAAGAAGGUGCGGCCAACUACGUGCCAGCAGCCGCGGUGACACGUAGGCACCAAGCGUUGUCCGGAUUUAUUGGGCGUAAAGAGCUCGUAGGCGGUUCAGUAAGUCGGGUGUGAAACCUUUGGGCUUAACCCAAAGCGUGCACUCGAUACUGCUGUGACUGGAGUUCGGUAGGGGAGCGGGGAAUUCCUAGUGUAGCGGUGAAAUGCGCAGAUAUUAGGAGGAACACCGGUGGCGAAGGCGCCGCUCUGGGCCGAUACUGACGCUGAGGAGCGAAAGCGUGGGUAGCAAAC